CGGAGCGUAGUUCAGAUGGCUAGAACAUUCGCUUUGGGAGCGAAAGGUCGUGGGUUCAAGUCCCGCCGCUCCGA
rnacentral:tRNA from 1 species